GUGACAUGAUGAAUCGGUUUAUCCAUUCUCUGAGUGCUGCUGUCUGGUCGCCGUCUCCGCCUCCGCUCCCGUUCUGGGGGCGGGGCCUCUCCGCCGUGGCGCCGGCGUCGUCUCGGCGUUCUGCCCAGCGACCCGAAACCUGGCAGAGAGAAGACUCGACCGGACCGCGGCCAAGACGAUCUUAUGUUCUGAUCAC